UUGGCGGUGAGAGUGGCGAACGGGUGAGUAAUGCGUGACCAACCUGCCCCGUGCUUCGGAAUAGCUCCUGGAAACGGGUGGUAAUGCCGGAUGCUCCGCAUCAUCGCAUGAUGGUGUGGGAAAGGGUUUACCGGCAUGGGAUGGGGUCGCGUCCUAUCAGCUUGUUGGCGGGGUGAUGGCCUGCCAAGGCUUCGACGGGUAGCCGGCCUGAGAGGGCGACCGGCCACAUUGGGACUGAGAUACGGCCCAGACUCCUACGGGAGGCAGCAGUGGGGAAUAUUGCACAAUGGGCGAAAGCCUGAUGCAGCGACGCCGCGUGCGGGAUGACGGCCUUCGGGUUGUAAACCGCUUUUGAUUGGGAGCAAGCGAGAGUGAGUGUACCUUUCGAAUAAGCACCGGCUAACUACGUGCCAGCAGCCGCGGUAAUACGUAGGGUGCAAGCGUUAUCCGGAUUUAUUGGGCGUAAAGAGCUCGUAGGCGGUUCGUCGCGUCUGGUGUGAAAGUCCAUCGCUUAACGGUGGAUCGGCGCCGGGUACGGGCGGACUGGAGUGCGGUAGGGGAGACUGGAAUUCCCGGUGUAACGGUGGAAUGUGUAGAUAUCGGGAAGAACACCGAUGGCGAAGGCAGGUCUCUGGGCCGUCACUGACGCUGAGGAGCGAAAGCGUGGGGAGCGAACAGGAUUAGAUACCCUGGUAGUCCACGCCGUAAACGGUGGAUGCUGGAUGUGGGGCCCGUUCCACGGGUUCCGUGUCGGAGCUAACGCGUUAAGCAUCCCGCCUGGGGAGUACGGCCGCAAGGCUAAAACUCAAAGAAAUUGACGGGGGCCCGCACAAGCGGCGGAGCAUGCGGA
rnacentral:rRNA from 1 species